GGCUGUCAUCUGCAACAGAGAGAGGUGAGAAGGCCUCCGCUCAGCAGAGACCAGUGAGGGAAUCAAUUCUUAGAGCUGCGAGGGAAUAAAUCUGCAUUGUUGGAGGCAUCCGGUUAUGAUGAACGGUUACAGCAGCCACAGGAAACUACAGAAGAGUUUCAAAAGGGCCUCGCAGAAGAAAGUGUAAUGUUGGCCGAACUAGGAAACAGCAGCUCAGAGAGGUGGAGCCACUUUCUCAGUGUCACACAGCAGAAUCUGAAUUAGAACGUCAAGUUCUGAGUCUAUGCUUUCUUUUUCCUUUUUCCUUGGUCUCUGGUGGGAGUUGGAGCACAAAAUUUAAAGUGUUAAAAAACUGUCAUCAAGCUAUUUUUAAAGGUCAAAACUCAUGCCAAAAAAAAAAAAAAGUAAAAGGUAAGAUUCUACCCUAUACUUGCAUGAUUUCACUUCUCC
ensembl:lncRNA